rnacentral:lncRNA from 1 species
AUGCUUGACUUGUUACCUAAAGGCUUAAAAAGGAUCAGAGGCAAUACAACUCUGGUUUGUUUCGUAGAGGAGGCGUAUUUCUCAGGCAGCAGUGAGACUUCUCUUGCUCCUGCUAACGGCAUCGGAUGCACAGAGGCUGCAGGAGUGGGAACGAUACAAGUGACACUGCCAUUCAUCUUCAAAACAGAAACAUUAUUAGGAGACCUUCCAUGUCUGUGUGGAAGAGGAGGGUGGCAGGUUAGACUCCAAAGGAACAUAAAGCAUAGCAGUGCAUGCCUGGCUCUGAAAAGGCAACGGUCUUCACCUGGUAUCAACUAUGGGAGCAUUUUAAUUUCAUAUUGCACCCUUGUGCAGCAUGAGAGCAGCUGUGAGGGAUGGGGAGGCAGGGGGCAGAGACACCACCCUCAGACAUGGGUUUUGCAGGUCUGUGCCACCCCUUAA